rnacentral:rRNA from 1 species
UACGUAGGUGGCGAGCGUUGUCCGGAUUUAUUGGGUUUAAAGGGCUCGUAGGCGGUUUGUCGCGUCGGGAGUGAAAACGCCGUGCUUAACACGGCGCUUGCUUUCGAUACGGGCAGACUAGAGGUAUGCAGGGGAGAACGGAAUUCCUGGUGUAGCGGUGAAAUGCGCAGAUAUCAGGAGGAACACCGGUGGCGAAGGCGGUUCUCUGGGCCUGUUCUGACGCUGAGGUGCGAAAGCUGGGGGAGCAAACAGG